UAGCAAUUUCACGUGGUAUCUGAGAUAUG
rnacentral:sRNA from 1 species